GAUGAACGCUGGCGGCGUGCCUAAUACAUGCAAGUCGAGCGAACGGACGAGAAGCUUGCUUCUCUGAUGUUAGCGGCGGACGGGUGAGUAACACGUGGAUAACCUACCUAUAAGACUGGGAUAACUUCGGGAAACCGGAGCUAAUACCGGAUAAUAUUUUGAACCGCAUGGUUCAAAAGUGAAAGACGGUCUUGCUGUCACUUAUAGAUGGAUCCGCGCUGCAUUAGCUAGUUGGUAAGGUAACGGCUUACCAAGGCAACGAUGCAUAGCCGACCUGAGAGGGUGAUCGGCCACACUGGAACUGAGACACGGUCCAGACUCCUACGGGAGGCAGCAGUAGGGAAUCUUCCGCAAUGGGCGAAAGCCUGACGGAGCGACGCCGCGUGAGUGAUGAAGGUCUUCGGAUCGUAAAACUCUGUUAUUAGGGAAGAACAUAUGUGUAAGUAACUGUGCACAUCUUGACGGUACCUAAUCAGAAAGCCACGGCUAACUACGUGCCAGCAGCCGCGGUAAUACGUAGGUGGCAAGCGUUAUCCGGAAUUAUUGGGCGUAAAGCGCGCGUAGGCGGUUUUUUAAGUCUGAUGUGAAAGCCCACGGCUCAACCGUGGGGGGUCAUUGGAAACUGGAAAACUUGAGUGCAGAAGAGGAAAGUGGAAUUCCAUGUGUAGCGGUGAAAUGCGCAGAGAUAUGGAGGAACACCAGUGGCGAAGGCGACUUUCUGGUCUGUAACUGACGCUGAUGUGCGAAAGCGUGGGGAUCAAACAGGAUUAGAUACCCUGGUAGUCCACGCCGUAAACGAUGAGUGCUAAGUGUUAGGGGGUUUCCGCCCCUUAGUGCUGCAGCUAACGCAUUAAGCACUCCGCCUGGGGAGUACGACCGCAAGGUUGAAACUCAAAGGAAUUGACGGGGACCCGCACAAGCGGUGGAGCAUGUGGUUUAAUUCGAAGCAACGCGAAGAACCUUACCAAAUCUUGACAUCCUUUGACAACUCUAGAGAUAGAGCCUUCCCCUUCGGGGGACAAAGUGACAGGUGGUGCAUGGUUGUCGUCAGCUCGUGUCGUGAGAUGUUGGGUUAAGUCCCGCAACGAGCGCAACCCUUAAGCUUAGUUGCCAUCAUUAAGUUGGGCACUCUAAGUUGACUGCCGGUGACAAACCGGAGGAAGGUGGGGAUGACGUCAAAUCAUCAUGCCCCUUAUGAUUUGGGCUACACACGUGCUACAAUGGACAAUACAAAGGGCAGCGAAACCGCGAGGUCAAGCAAAUCCCAUAAAGUUGUUCUCAGUUCGGAUUGUAGUCUGCAACUCGACUACAUGAAGCUGGAAUCGCUAGUAAUCGUAGAUCAGCAUGCUACGGUGAAUACGUUCCCGGGUCU
rnacentral:rRNA from 1 species